rnacentral:rRNA from 1 species
CACGUAGGGUGCGAGCGUUGUCCGGAAUUAUUGGGCGUAAAGAGCUCGUAGGCGGUGUGUCGCGUCGGCCGUGAAAACCUGCAGCUUAACUGUGGGCUUGCGGUCGAUACGGGCAUCACUGGAGUUCGGCAGGGGAGACUGGAAUUCCUGGUGUAGCGGUGAAAUGCGCAGAUAUCAGGAGGAACACCGGUGGCGAAAGCGGCUCUCUAGAACGGUACUGACGCUGAGACGCGAAAGCGUGGGGAGCGAACAGG